rnacentral:misc_RNA from 1 species
AAACAGGACAGUCAUGGGAAGUGGAUUACUGGCUUUGUGCGUAAUAUUGGCCAUUGUGAUGUCUUUGCUGCUGAACUUUGGGGUGUGUUGAUGGGCAUUUCUUUUGCUUGGGAGCUUGGGUUUAGACAAGUUAUUGUUGAGAUUGAUAAUCAGGCUGCUUGUCAAGUGCUGCAAGGUAGUAGUGAAGUUUUGAGUGUCCAUGGUCCUCUAAUUCAUUCUAUCCACAGCUUCAAGUCCAG